rnacentral:tRNA from 1 species
GGACUCGUAGCUCAGUUGGUAGAGCGCCUCGUUUACACCGAGGAUGUCAGGGGUUCGAAUCCCUUCGGGUCCA